AUUGAACGCUGGCGGCAUGCCUUACACAUGCAAGUCGAACGGCAGCACGGGAGCAAUCCUGGUGGCGAGUGGCGAACGGGUGAGUAAUAUAUCGGAACGUGCCCAGUCGUGGGGGAUAACGUAGCGAAAGCUACGCUAAUACCGCAUACGAUCUAUGGAUGAAAGCGGGGGAUCGCAAGACCUCGCGCGAUUGGAGCGGCCGAUAUCAGAUUAGGUAGUUGGUGAGGUAAAGGCUCACCAAGCCGACGAUCUUUAGCUGGUCUGAGAGGACGACCAGCCACACUGGGACUGAGACACGGCCCAGACUCCUACGGGAGGCAGCAGUGGGGAAUUUUUGGACAAUGGGCGCAAGCCUGAUCCAGCAAUGCCGCGUGCAGGAUGAAGGCCUGUGUA
rnacentral:rRNA from 1 species